CAAGGARUUUUKUUUUGUGCGGUYCGRGGUWUUUWRAAGACCGRGGGCGCAGCGAAAAGAARACCSCGAUCCCUUSGUUUUAGUCACCGAGGGGCGCAGCGGCCGCCUUUCCUCGUUGGCAGGAAGGAGUGAGAGCACGCCGGCAAGGACCCGAUAGGUGGUGAAUAUUCUCGGGCAGGACGAAGGCCGCGGAAACACGGCUGGAGGUCCGAAGCGGUUCUGACGUGCAAAUCGAUCKUCCGACCCGAGUAUAGGGGCGAAAGACCAAUCGAACCACCUGGUAGCUGGUUCCCUCCGAAGUUUCCCUCAGGAUAGCCGUCGCUCAUUGUAAUGGCAGUCGCGUCCCGUAGAGAGAAUGAUUAGAGUCAUCGGGGACGCCCGUGUCACUCGACCUCUUCUCAAACUGCGAAGGGACGCGCGGGUGCCUCUCUCGAUCGGAAGGCGCCCCGGUGGAUG
rnacentral:rRNA from 1 species